rnacentral:rRNA from 1 species
UAGGGAAUCUUCGGCAAUGGGGGGAACCCUGAUCGAGCAACGCCGCGUGAGUGAAGAAGGUUUUCGGAUCGUAAAGCUCUGUUGUUAAGGAAGAACGAGUGUGAGAAUGGAAAGUUCAUACUGUGACGGUACUUAACCAGAAAGGGACGGCUAACUACGUGCCAGCAGCCGCGGUAAUACGUAGGUCCCGAGCGUUGUCCGGAUUUAUUGGGCGUAAAGCGAGCGCAGGCGGUUAGAUAAGUCUGAAGUUAAAGGCAGUGGCUCAACCAUUGUAGGCUUUGGAAACUGUUUAACUUGAGUGCAGAAGGGGAGAGUGGAAUUCCAUGUGUAGCGGUGAAAUGCGUAGAUAUAUGGAGGAACACCGGUGGCGAAAGCGGCUCUCUGGUCUGUAACUGACGCUGAGGCUCGAAAGCGUGGGGAGCGAACAGG